ACCUAUGUUUGAGGUCCGACCUUGAAGGUAUAAAAUGAUAAGCUGGAUAAUUAGAAGAGAUCAGUAACUGUCCCUCCGUCUUCACGGUAACAACUAUACGAAAAGAUGACUGGAAAUUAUAUUAUGAACCUGUCUGAGACUGGAACCCAAUAUCCAGACUCCAGCUCUACUACAGAGUGCUGGGAAAGCCCAGAAGAUCCAGG